rnacentral:rRNA from 1 species
GAUGAACGCUGGCGGCGUGCCUAAUACAUGCAAGUCGAGCGAACGGACGAGAAGCUUGCUUCUCUGAUGUUAGCGGCGGACGGGUGAGUAACACGUGGAUAACCUACCUAUAAGACUGGGAUAACUUCGGGAAACCGGAGCUAAUACCGGAUAAUAUUUUGAACCGCAUGGUUCAAAAGUGAAAGACGGUCUUGCUGUCACUUAUAGAUGGAUCCGCGCUGCAUUAGCUAGUUGGUAAGGUAACGGCUUACCAAGGCAACGAUGCAUAGCCGACCUGAGAGGGUGAUCGGCCACACUGGAACUGAGACACGGUCCAGACUCCUACGGGAGGCAGCAGUAGGGAAUCUUCCGCAAUGGGCGAAAGCCUGACGGAGCAACGCCGCGUGAGUGAUGAAGGUCUUCGGAUCGUAAAACUCUGUUAUUAGGGAAGAACAUAUGUGUAAGUAACUGUGCACAUCUUGACGGUACCUAAUCAGAAAGCCACGGCUAACUACGUGCCAGCAGCCGCGGUAAUACGUAGGUGGCAAGCGUUAUCCGAAAUUAUUGGGCGUAAAGCGCGCGUAGGCGGUUUUUUAAGUCUGAUGUGAAAGCCCACGGCUCAACCGUGGAGGGUCAUUGGAAACUGGAAAACUUGAGUGCAGAAGAGGAAAGUGGAAUUCCAUGUGUAGCGGUGAAAUGCGCAGAGAUAUGGAGGAACACCAGUGGCGAAGGCGACUUUCUGGUCUGUAACUGACGCUGAUGUGCGAAAGCGUGGGGAUCAAACAGGAUUAGAUACCCUGGUAGUCCACGCCGUAAACGAUGAGUGCUAAGUGUUAGGGGGUUUCCGCCCCUUAGUGCUGCAGCUAACGCAUUAAGCACUCCGCCUGGGGAGUACGACCGCAAGGUUGAAACUCAAAGGAAUUGACGGGGACCCGCACAAGCGGUGGAGCAUGUGGUUUAAUUCGAAGCAACGCGAAGAACCUUACCAAAUCUUGACAUCCUUUGACAACUCUAGAGAUAGAGCCUUCCCCUUCGGGGGACAAAGUGACAGGUGGUGCAUGGUUGUCGUCAGCUCGUGUCGUGAGAUGUUGGGUUAAGUCCCGCAACGAGCGCAACCCUUAAGCUUAGUUGCCAUCAUUAAGUUGGGCACUCUAAGUUGACUGCCGGUGACAAACCGGAGGAAGGUGGGGAUGACGUCAAACCAUCAUGCCCCUUAUGAUUUGGGCUACACACGUGCUACAAUGGACAAUACAAAGGGCAGCGAAACCGCGAGGUCAAGCAAAUCCCAUAAAGUUGUUCUCAGUUCGGAUUGUAGUCUGCAACUCGACUACAUGAAGCUGGAAUCGCUAGUAAUCGUAGAUCAGCAUGCUACGGUGAAUACGUUCCCGGGUCU